GAUCCGAUGGCUUAGUGGUUAGAGCGUCUGCCUCUGAUGCGGAAGGUCGCUGGUUCGAACACCGGCCGAGUCG